GAUGAUCAACCAGGUCUGAAGUCCCGUCGUAGCUUUCGAACUGGGGGAGCUUGAAGUUUGGCGGGAUCGGUUCCUGCAUGAUCAUUUGAGAGAAGGGAGGGUCAGUACAAAUAUCCUCACCAUAAGCGGGGGGAGCAUGGCGGAGUUUUUCGAUCUGCCGGUUCAUCUCUUGGAGUCUCCGGUCCAGGAAAUCCUCCCGACUUUGAGUCUCGAGGGUCCUCUGGCAGAAUGAGGGCAGGGAUCUUUCAGGGGUAGAAUCGUGGUCCGAUUGAGGGCUCUCCACCCUCGGGUUCAUUUUCCC
rnacentral:lncRNA from 1 species